rnacentral:ribozyme from 1 species
ACGUUACAGGCUCCAAGUUUGACGGGGCCUAUCUCGGGAAGACCAAGUGGAAGGGCACCAACGUCCAGGGGGUCUCUUUUGAGAGAGCCAAUUUCGAGAACUCUGACCUCACCGGAAUCAAGAACUUCG